rnacentral:rRNA from 1 species
UGAGUAAUGUCUGGGAAACUGCCUGAUGGAGGGGGAUAACUACUGGAAACGGUAGCUAAUACCGCAUAACGUCGCAAGACCAAAGAGGGGGACCUUCGGGCCUCUUGCCAUCAGAUGUGCCCAGAUGGGAUUAGCUAGUAGGUGGGGUAAUGGCUCACCUAGGCGACGAAUCCCUAGCUGGUCUGAGAGGAUGACCAGCCACACUGGAACUGAGACACGGUCCAGACUCCUACGGGAGGCAGCAGUGGGGAGUAUUGCACAAUGGGCGCAAGCCUGAUGCAGCCAUGCCGCGUGUGUGAAGAAGGCCUUCGGGUUGUAAAGCACUUUCAGCGAGGAGGAAGGUGGUGAGCUUAAUACGCUCAUCAAUUGACGUUACUCGCAGAAGAAGCACCGGCUAACUCCGUGCCAGCAGCCGCGGUAAUACGGAGGGUGCAAGCGUUAAUCGGAAUUACUGGGCGUAAAGCGCACGCAGGCGGUUUGUUAAGUCAGAUGUGAAAUCCCCGGG